UCACAUCAGUAUAGGAAGAAGACAUCUUGAUUUUUUGAAAAUGAAGAUGAAGGGAAUUAAUGAUACUGAAUAUGAGUGCCAUAGAGAAAACAAGAAAAAAGGAUGAGGAUUUUUUAUUUUAUUUUUUUUUUUGGAAAAAGAGGUAUGAAAACCUCAGUACAUCAUAUUACGAAUUGUCAUUACAUCUUGAUCCCCGAUUUGGAUGUUCAGAAAGUUUAAUAAAUCCCAUAAUCUAUCUUCCGUCCAGAUAUGCUUAACAUUAAAAUUAUUACAGAAUAAAGAGAGUUUUACUUCUCAUAUGAUGUCUAUUUUUUUCACUAAAAUAAAAUCAUGGGCUCUAAAGUUAAUUUCAAACUUUUUAGUAUUUCCAAAAUCUUCGCUGAUCAUGUAUCUUUUUCUACGACCUUCGUCAUACAAUCCCACCAGCAACACUAGAAUCGGCUCUGAAUCGCUACUAAAGGAGAUCAUGUGGCCACUCCAAUCGGUUGCCAAUGGAAAGCUGGUUCCGCUCCUUCCUUUUCUAGCUCCUCUAAGGUUGUGAUGUCAGUGGUCACUAACUCUAUUAAGACCCACAAUGUCAGUAAGGUUUCUACACAGUGGUGGUUGAAUCCAUGGGAUCCAACAAUCCUGCCAAAUAUCAGAGACGUCAUUUUUUUUGUGCAA